AUUGAACGCUGGCGGCAGGCCUAACACAUGCAAGUCGAACGGUAACAGGAAGAAGCUUGCUUCUUUGCUGACGAGUGGCGGACGGGUGAGUCAUGUCUGGGAAACUGCCUGAUGGAGGGGGAUAACUACUGGAAACGGUAGCUAAUACCGCAUAACGUCGCAAGACCAAAGAGGGGGACCUUCGGGCCUCUUGCCAUCGGCUGUGCCCUGAUGGGAUUAGCUAGUAGGUGGGGUAACGGCUCACCUAGGCGACGAUCCCUAGCUGGUCUGAGAGGAUGACCAGCCACACUGGAACUGAGACACGGUCCAGACUCCUACGGGAGGCAGCAGUGGGGAAUAUUGCACAAUGGGCGCAAGCCUGAUGCAGCCAUGCCGCGUGUAUGAAGAAGGCCUUCGGGUUGUAAAGUACUUUCAGCGGGGAGGAAGGGAGUAAAGUUAAUACAUUUGCUCAUUGACGGUACCCGCAGAAGAAGCACCGGCUAACUCCGUG
rnacentral:rRNA from 1 species